rnacentral:sRNA from 1 species
UGCAAAAUAGAGGGAUUACGACUGAUUA